AUUUAAAAAUAAUUUUUUAUUAAUGAAUAUUAUUAA
rnacentral:tRNA from 1 species